rnacentral:rRNA from 1 species
UACGGGGGGGGCAAGCGUUGUUCGGAAUUACUGGGCGUAAAGGGCUUGUAGGUGGCCAACUAAGUCAGACGUGAAAUCCCUCGGCUUAACCGGGGAACUGCGUCUGAUACUGGAUGGCUUGAGUGUGGGAGAGGGAUGCGGAAUUCCAGGUGUAGCGGUGAAAUGCGUAGAUAUCUGGAGGAACACCGGUGGCGAAGGCGGCAUCCUGGACCAUUACUGACACUGAGAAGCGAAAGCGUGGGGAGCGAACAGG